GAAGCUGACCAGACAGUCGCCGCUUUGUCGUCGUCCCUCUUGUAGGGAGACGGGCAGAGGGGAGGAAAGUCCGGGCUCCAUAGGGCAGGGUGCCAGGUAACGCCUGGGGGGCGCAAGCCUACGACCAGUGCAACAGAGAGCAAACCGCCGAUGGC
rnacentral:RNase_P_RNA from 1 species